rnacentral:rRNA from 1 species
UGUGUAGGCGGCGCCGUAAGUCGGGUGUGAAAUCUCGGAGCUUAACUCCGAAACUGCAUUCGAUACUGCGGUGCUUGAGGACUGGAGAGGAGACUGGAAUUUACGGUGUAGCAGUGAAAUGCGUAGAUAUCGUAAGGAAGACCAGUGGCGAAGGCGGGUCUCUGGACAGUUCCUGACACUGAGGCACGAAGGCCAGGGAGGCAAACG